CUGGCCUACGGGGGGCAGCAGUGAGGAAUAUUGGUCAAUGGGCGGGAGCCUGAACCAGCCAAGCCGCGUGAGGGAAGAAGGUACAGCGUAUCGUAAACCUCUUUUGUCAGGGAACAAAGGCGGGGACUAGUCCCCGGAUGAGGGUACCUGAAGAAAAAGCAUCGGCUAACUCCGUGCCAGCAGCCGCGGUAAUACGGAGGAUGCGAGCGUUAUCCGGAUUUAUUGGGUUUAAAGGGUGCGCAGGCGGGAUAGCAAGUCAGAUGUGAAAUCCUAUGGCUUAACCAUAGAACUGCAUUUGAAACUGU
rnacentral:rRNA from 1 species